AACGAACGCUGGCGGCAUGCCUAACACAUGCAAGUCGAACGAGACCUUCGGGUCUAGUGGCGCACGGGUGCGUAACGCGUGGGAACCUGCCCUUAGGUUCGGAAUAACUCCCCGAAAGGGGUGCUAAUACCGGAUAAUGUCUUCGGACCAAAGAUUUAUCGCCUUUGGAUGGGCCCGCGUUGGAUUAGCUAGUUGGUAGGGUAAAAGCUUACCAAGGCGACGAUCCAUAGCUGGUCUGAGAGGAUGAUCAGCCACACUGGGACUGAGACACGGCCCAGACUCCUACGGGAGGCAGCAGUGGGGAAUAUUGGACAAUGGGCGAAAGCCUGAUCCAGCAAUGCCGCGUGAGUGAUGAAGGCCUUAGGGUUGUAAAGCUCUUGUACCCGGGAUGAUAAUGACAGUACCGGGAGAAUAAGCUCCGGCUAACUCCGUG
rnacentral:rRNA from 1 species